CUACCUAGGAAUUUGAAGUUCUUGGCUAGCAUAUUACCUGCAAUUAAUUACUAUGUGAGUUUCCUUAAAUAUAGCCGACCAAAUGACAAUAUAUUGGGAUCCAAAUUUUACCCUCAAUAAAAUAAUUCUGAGAUCACACUUUUAAAUUAAUACAACAUACGCUUCUUUUCCACACGGUAAACAAGAUAACUAGUUGCUUGGCAAAUUCAGCAUAUAUUUUCGUCAAAUCGAACAACACGUUGUAGAACAGCCAUCUUGCUUUUGUUUAUUAAGGCGGUAUUUUUCCUCUACCUUUUUAGCAGUGGGAUUAAAGUACUGUAUAAGUAAAUAGGGAAAUAUUAUAUGAAGUUAGAAUCUCUCACUUACUUCAUUUCAAUUUAUGGCAUUUAAGCAUUUACAAAGAGUGCUCCAGUACAAAAAUAUCUCAAACCAACAUUCAAAAAAACUGCAAAACUAACGUCGUCUUUGUAA